UACGGAGGAUGCAAGCGUUAUCCGGAAUUAUUGGGCGUAAAGGGUCCGUAGGUGGCAGUGUAAGUCUGCUGUCAAAGAAUGAGGCUUAACCUUAUCAAGGCAGUGGAAACUACACAGCUAGAGUACGGUCGGGGUAGAAGGAAUUCCUGGUGUAGCGGUGAAAUGCGUAGAGAUCAGGAAGAACACCGGUGGCGAAAGCGUUCUGCUAGACCUGUACUGACACUGAGGGACGAAAGCUAGGGGAGCGAAUGGG
rnacentral:rRNA from 1 species